rnacentral:rRNA from 1 species
UACGUAGGGGGCGAGCGUUGUCCGGAUUCAUUGGGCGUAAAGAGCUCGUAGGCGGUUCAGUAAGUCGGGUGUGAAAUCUCCGUGCUCAACACGGAGCGGCCACCUGAUACUGCUGUGACUCGAGUCCGGUAGGGGAGUGUGGAAUUCCCGGUGUAGCGGUGAAAUGCGCAGAUAUCGGGAGGAACACCGGUGGCGAAGGCGGUUCUCUGGGCCUUACCUGACGCUGAGGAGCGAAAGCGUGGGGAGCGAACAGG